CAAAGCCAUGUCCUCAGCCGAUAGGAGAUAGAAGACCAGUGUCUUAUUUGUACAGAAGGGAUCAGAAUUAGAAACACUGUAAUAAAGAAAGGCUCUUUCUUUACUGACCAUUCCAAAGUUGGGUGGUUCAUUUGAGCACCUGUCUUCCUCUCUUAAAUCUAAAACAUCGCAAGUUUUGAUAAGUUUGGGUCCUGACUCUAAAAUGAACUUCUAAAGGAAGACAAAGACUAUACUUGGGAUGGUGUUCCAUGUAACGCUUGGGAUAGUGAUAAAGUGGGCAAUCUUAGGAAGUCUCAUCCAAAAAGUCAGUGCCUUCAGCUACAAAAGUUUUUCCCCACUGAACCAUUUCAGAAUAAGCUGCUGACAUAAUGCCCUUUUCCCAAAUAUUCUAGCGUAUUUCCAAUAAAGCAGGACAUUCUCUCAUAUAACCACAACCCCACUAUCAAUAUCAGUGUAUGAAUCCAUUUUCACACUGCUGAUAAAGACAUACCCGAGACUGGGAAGAAAAAGAGGUUUAAUUGGACUUACAGUUCCACAUGACUGGGGAGGCCUCAGAAUCAUGGCAGGAGGUGAAAGGCACUUCUUACACGGUGGUGGCAAGAGAAAAAUGAAAAAGAUGCAAACACGGAAACUGCUGAUAAACCAUCAGAUCUUGUGGGACUUAUUCACUACCACGAGAACAGUAUGGGGGGAAACCACCGCCAUGAUUCAAAUUAUCUCCCACCGGGUCCCUCCCACAACACGUGGGAAUUAUGGGAGUGCAAUUCAAGAUUAGAUUUGGGUGGGGACAGAGCCAAAUCAUAUCAAUCAGGAAAUUAGCAUUGAUAUGUAUUACCAUCUAAUCCUUAGCCCCUGCUGUGAUUUGAACAGGCUCCUCAAAUUUCACAUGUUGUAAGCUUAGUCUGCAAUGUGGUAAUAUUGAGAGGUGGGGGCUCUAAGGGGUGACUGGAUUAUAGCCUCCCUGAAUGGAUUAAUCCAUUCAUAGAUUAAUGGGUUAUCACAGGAAUGGGCCUGGUAGUCCUGUAAGAAGAGAGAGAGAGACACCAGAGCCAGCACACCCAGCCCCCUCGUUAGAUGAUGCCCGGCAUGGUCUCAGGACUCCCCAGAGAGUCCCUACCAGCAAGAAGGCCCUCACCAGACUUGACCCUUGUCCUUGGAAUUCUCAGCCUCCUUAAGAUUUUUUUGGUUGAUUUUUUAAAAACCCGCUUAUCUAUUCUGCUUCAAAUUAAUCCCCAAAUGUUGCUUUAUCAAACCAUUUGUAGUUGCAGUGGCUGUUGAUUACAGAUGUACAUCAUUUCUCCCCCAGCCUUUUUAAAGGGCCAAUCACUAUGGUAACCAUAUUACAGAAAAUUACUGCGUCUCCUUAAAAUACCCUUCAGAAAAAGGUCAUUCGGUAUUAACAUGUUCCAGCUAAACCAGCAGCGUGAGCAGUGCUGGAGCAUUGUCACCACGCACUGUGCUUCCGAGUGCUUGGCUUUGGUUGCGUAAUUUCAGGAAACUCUCAAAACAGGACUAAAGAUUGAGAGUGGAAUGUGCUCUAAUGCUGCACUGUGUAGUGUGUGUGUGUGUGUGUGUGUGUGUGCAAAUCUAAAAGCCACACUCAGUUUAGUUCUUGUGCUUACAGGGCAAGGCUUGUUGGCUCUGGGUUCCAUUUUGCUGCUGCCCUGUUCUGAGUGUGGGUUGAGAUUGAGGGUGCCUGCCCUGCUCAGACCUCAGGCUGACCCUUAGAGCAGGGCAGCCGUGGGCCGGGUGGAUGAGACAGCUGCCCCCGGCAUUGGAAGCGCUGCACCCAGGCAGGCUCAGGCCAAUGAACAUUUUUGUUGUU
rnacentral:lncRNA from 1 species